rnacentral:rRNA from 1 species
UACGUAGGGUGCAAGCGUUAAUCGGAAUUACUGGGCGUAAAGCGUGCGCAGGCGGUUAUGUAAGACAGGUGUGAAAUCCCCGGGCUUAACCUGGGAACUGCAUUUGUGACUGCAUAGCUAGAGUACGGCAGAGGGGGAUGGAAUUCCGCGUGUAGCAGUGAAAUGCGUAGAGAUGCGGAGGAACACCGAUGGCGAAGGCAGCCCCCUGGGCUAGCACUGACGCUCAGGCACGAAAGCGUGGGGAGCAAACAGG